GUACGUGGCUGGUAAUUCUAUGUUCAAUAGUAAAUCCUAGGUGUGUUAGCAAGAUUUUGCAGAUUGCACCCUUAACUUGUAAACUCUUCAGCCUCCAGGUGCUGCCCUGCCCUGCCCUCUUUUUGGGCAAAUAGGAGACUCUGGUGGCCACAUCAUAAAAUACUUCAUGCCAAUAUGAACUACUAGCGUUGCUAUUGCUGGUUACAGGAGUGACGCUGAGGACUGAAUGGGCAUUGAAACUGGAAUUGUACACUUGUUCUCAGAGAUGGAUCCCUCCAGAAUAUAGGGCUGGCCUGAUGGAGGCAGCUUAAACAAACACACGACCCAAGUGGAGCAGGAGUUAUAAACUGCCAUAUGUGAAUGAACAAAGGGGCCAUACUAAAGCCUUUUGUGGUA